rnacentral:rRNA from 2 species
UACGGAAGGUCCGGGCGUUAUCCGGAUUUAUUGGGUUUAAAGGGAGCGUAGGCUGCCGGUUAAGUGUGUUGUGAAAUGCAGGCGCUCAACGUCUGCCUUGCAGCGCAUACUGUCCGGCUUGAGUACGCACAACGUUGGCGGAAUUCGUCGUGUAGCGGUGAAAUGCUUAGAUAUGACGAAGAACUCCGAUUGCGAAGGCAGCUGACGGGAGCGUUACUGACGCUGAAGCUCGAAAGUGCGGGUAUCGAACAGG